ensembl:lncRNA
CUAGUGUCCCUUAUGGCUCUAAUCUGAUAGUGGUAGUAGGGUGGUAGAUUCCUAGUGUCCCUUAUGGCUCUAAUCUGAUAGUGGUAGUAGGGUGGUAGAGUCCUAGUGUCCCUUAUGGCUCUAAUCUGAUAGUGGUAGUAGUGGGGGUGGCAGAUUCCUAGUGUCCCUUAUGGCUCUAAUAUGAUAGUGGUUGUAGGGUGGUGGAUGUCUAGUGUCCCUUAUGGCUCUAAUAUGAUAAUGGUAGCUCUAAUCUGAUAGUGGUAGUGGGGUUGUAGAUUCCUAGUGUCCCUUAUGGCUCUAAUAUGAUAAUGGCAGUAGGGUGGUGGAUUCCUAGUGUCCCUUAUGGCUCUAAUAUGAUAAUGGUAGUAGGGUGGUGGAUGUCUAGUGUCCCUUAUGGCUCUAAUAUGAUAGUGGUAGUAGGGUGGUGGAUGUCUAGUGUCCCUUAUGGCUCUAAUAUGAUAAUGGUAGGGGGGGGUGGCAGAUUCCUAGUGUCCCUUAUGGCUCUAAUCUGAUAGUGGUAGUGGGGGUGGCAGAUUCCUAGUGUCCCUUAUGGCUCUAAUCUGAUAGUGGUAGUGGGGGGUGGCAGAUUCCUAGUGUCCCUUAUGGCUCUAAUAUGAUAGUGGUAGUAGGGUGGUGGAUGUCUAGUGUCCCUUAUGGCUCUAAUAGGAUAAUGGUAGUAGGGUGGUGGAUGUCUAGUGUCCCUUAUGGCUCUAAUAUGAUAAUGGU